rnacentral:rRNA from 1 species
GACGAACGCUGGCGGCGUGCUUAACACAUGCAAGUCGAACGGUGAUCCCCUUUCGGGGGGUGAUCAGUGGCGAACGGGUGAGUAACACGUGAGCAACCUGCCCCUGGCUCUGGGACAACCACUGGAAACGGUGGCUAAUACCGGAUACGACCUACCUCGGCAUCGAGUGUGGGUGGAAAGUUUUUCGGCUGGGGAUGGGCUCGCGGCCUAUCAGCUUGUUGGUGGGGUGAUGGCCUACCAAGGCGACGACGGGUAGCCGGCCUGAGAGGGCGACCGGCCACACUGGGACUGAGACACGGCCCAGACUCCUACGGGAGGCAGCAGUGGGGAAUAUUGCACAAUGGGCGAAAGCCUGAUGCAGCGACGCCGCGUGAGGGAUGACGGCCUUCGGGUUGUAAACCUCUUUCAGCUCCGAAGAAGCCGCACUUGUUGGUGUGGUGACGGUAGGAGCAGAAGAAGCACCGGCUAACUACGUGCCAGCAGCCGCGGUAAUACGUAGGGUGCAAGCGUUGUCCGGAAUUAUUGGGCGUAAAGAGCUCGUAGGCGGUGUGUCGCGUCUGCUGUGAAAACUCAGGGCUCAACUCUGAGCUUGCAGUGGGUACGGGCACACUUGAGUGCUGUAGGGGAGACUGGAAUUCCUGGUGUAGCGGUGAAAUGCGCAGAUAUCAGGAGGAACACCGGUGGCGAAGGCGGGUCUCUGGGCAGUUACUGACGCUGAGGAGCGAAAGCAUGGGGAGCGAACAGGAUUAGAUACCCUGGUAGUCCAUGCCGUAAACGUUGGGCGCUAGGUGUGGGGUCCAUUCCACGGAUUCCGUGCCGCAGCUAACGCAUUAAGCGCCCCGCCUGGGGAGUACGGCCGCAAGGCUAAAACUCAAAGGAAUUGACGGGGGCCCGCACAAGCGGCGGAGCAUGCGGAUUAAUUCGAUGCAACGCGAAGAACCUUACCAAGGCUUGACAUGCGCGGUGGAAUCCCAGAGAUGGGGUGUCAUUUAGUUGGUCGCGUACAGGUGGUGCAUGGUUGUCGUCAGCUCGUGUCGUGAGAUGUUGGGUUAAGUCCCGCAACGAGCGCAACCCUCGUUCCAUGUUGCCAGCACGUGAUGGUGGGGACUCAUGGGAGACUGCCGGGGUCAACUCGGAGGAAGGUGGGGAUGACGUCAAAUCAUCAUGCCCCUUAUGUCUUGGGCUUCACGCAUGCUACAAUGGCCAGUACAGAGGGCUGCGAUACCGUGAGGUGGAGCGAAUCCCAAAAAGCUGGUCUCAGUUCGGAUCGGGGUCUGCAACUCGACCCCGUGAAGUCGGAGUCGCUAGUAAUCGCAGAUCAGCAACGCUGCGGUGAAUACGUUCCCGGGCCUUGUACACACCGCCCGUCACGUCAUGAAAGUCGGUAACACCCGAAGCCGGUGGCCCAACCCGUAA